rnacentral:rRNA from 1 species
AUGUAAAUGCCUACAACAUAGCGUUAAUGCAUCGAAUCCCAUUAGAACUCCACAUUUAAGCACGCUCAGGAUAGAGUAGUACUAAGAUGGGUGACCGCCCAGGAAGUCCUAGUGUUUUACAUG